AUGAUUCAUGAUUCAUAGCAUUCGUUUCACCGGUCUACUACUACUAAACGCAUCCACUGUGCGCGGUAGACUGGCGGGCGAAAUUCAGCACUGAAUCGUUCUCUGGUAAGACAAAAAACCCGCGCCACUGCGCGGGUUUUUUU
rnacentral:sRNA from 1 species